rnacentral:rRNA from 1 species
CAGACCGCGCACGCGUCAUCCAACCCGUCGGUGACGGCACUGUCCGGCCCCUCGUGUCCACGCGUGCCGUGGAGGGACGCAUCUGCGAACGAACCCCGGCGCGAGAAGCGCCAAGGAAAUUGAGUACUAGGAGCACGCCCUCGUAGCCUCGGUGUCGGGGGCGCGCCUUCUUUUUGUGAUAAUCUGAACGACUCUCGGCAACGGAUAUCUCGGCUCUCGCAUCGAUGAAGAACGUAGCGAAAUGCGAUACUUGGUGUGAAUUGCAGAAUCCCGUGAACCAUCGAGUCUUUGAACGCAAGUUGCGCCCGAGGCCUCCUGGUCGAGGGCACGCCUGCCUGGGUGUCACGCAUCGUCGCCCCCACUCCCCUCGGCUCACGAGGGCGGGGGCGGAUACUGGUCUCCCGCGCGCUCCCGCCCGUGGUUGGCCUAAAAUCGAGUCCUCGGCGACGGUCGCCACGACAAGCGGUGGUUGAGAGACCCUCGGACACGGUCGUGCGCGUGCUUGUCGCCCCCGGGACCUCCCGGACCCCCGAGCAUUGGCUUUCAAGGAUGCUCUCGUUGCGACCCCAGGUCAGGCGGGACUACCCGCUGAG